CCGCGUGAGUGAAGAAGGGUUCGGAUGCGUAAAGCUCUGUUGUAAGAGAAGAACGGGUGGUGGAGAGUGGAAAGUUCACACUGUGACGGUAUGCUUACCAGAAAGGGACGGCUAACUACGUGCCAGCAGCCGCGGUAAUACGUAGGUCCCGAGCGUUGUCCGGAUUUAUUGGGCGUAAAGCGAGCGCAGGCGGUUAGAUAAGUCUGAAGUUAAAGGCUGUGGCUUAACCAUAGUAUGCUUUGGAAACUGUUUAACUUGAGUGCAGAAGGGGAGAGUGGAAUUCCAUGUGUAGCGGUGAAAUGCGUAGAUAUAUGGAGGAACACCGGUGGCGAAAGCGGCUCUCUGGUCUGUAACUGACGCUGAGGCUCGAAAGCGUGGGGAGCAAACAGGAUUAGAUACCCUGGUAGUCCACGCCGUAAACGAUGAGUGCUAGGUGUUAGGCCCUUUCCGGGGCUUAGUGCCGCAGCUAACGCAUUAAGCACUCCGCCUGGGGAGUACGACCGCAAGGUUGAAACUCAAAGGAAUUGACGG
rnacentral:rRNA from 1 species